rnacentral:rRNA from 1 species
ACGAACGCUGGCGGCGUGCUUAACACAUGCAAGUCGAACGGUGAAGCGCCUUCCUUUUUGGUGGGUGUGGAUGAGUGGCGAACGGGUGAGUAACACGUGAGUAACCUGCCCCCUUCUUCUGGAUAACCGCAUGAAAGUGUGGCUAAUACGGGAUAUUCUGGGUCUGUCGCAUGAUGGGUCUGGGAAAGAUAUUGUUUCGGUGGGGGAUGGGCUCGCGGCCUAUCAGCUUGUUGGUGGGGUGAUGGCCUACCAAGGCGGUGACGGGUAGCCGGCCUGAGAGGGUGGACGGUCACACUGGGACUGAGACACGGCCCAGACUCCUACGGGAGGCAGCAGUGGGGAAUAUUGCACAAUGGGCGCAAGCCUGAUGCAGCGACGCCGCGUGAGGGAUGGAGGCCUUCGGGUUGUGAACCUCUUUCGCCAGUGAAGCAGGCCUGCCUCGUUUGUGGGUGGGUCGACGGUAGCUGGAUAAGAAGCGCCGGCUAACUACGUG